rnacentral:tRNA from 1 species
CAAGGUAGAGCUUGGUAGCAAGCACCUCUUUUACACAGAGUAGACAUUUGUGCAAGUCAAAUUGCCUUGA